AAAGUACUCCCUCCAUCCCAAAAUUAUUGUCUUAGAUUUGUCUAGAUACGGAUGUAUCAAGUCACAUUUUAGUAUUAGAUACAUCCGUAUCUAGACAAAUCUAAGACAAGAAAUUUGGGACAGAGGGAGUAGUUG
rfam:Triticum aestivum genome assembly, contig: Triticum_aestivum_CS42_TGACv1_scaffold_385918_5AL